rnacentral:rRNA from 1 species
AGUGAACGCUGGCGGCAGGCCUAACACAUGCGAGUCGAGCGGCAGCGCGGGGGCAACCCUGGCGGCGAGCGGCGGAUGGGUGAGGAAUUCGUCGGAAUCUGCCUUUUUGUGGGGGAUAACGUAGGGAAACUUACGCUAAUACCGCAUACGUCCUACGGGAGAAAGUGGGGGACCGCAAGGCCUCACGCAGAAAGAUGAGCCGACGACCGAUUAGCUAGUUGGUGGGGUAAAGGCCCACCAAGGCGACGAUCGGUAGCUGGUCUGAGAGGAUGAUCAGCCACACUGGGACUGAGACACGGCCCAGACUCCUACGGGAGGCAGCAGUGGGGAAUAUUGGACAAUGGGCGCAAGCCUGAUCCAGCCAUGCCGCGUGUGUGAAGAAGGCCUUCGGGUUGUAAAGCACUUUUGUCCGGAAAGAAAUCCCUGGAGCUAAUACCUUCGGGGGAUGACGGUACCGGAAGAAUAAGCACCGGCUAACUUCGUG